AACUCUCAGCAACGGAUAUCUUGGCUCUUGCAACGAUGAAGAACGCAGCGAAAUGCGAUACGUAGUGUGAAUUGCAGAAUCCCGUGAAUCAUCGAGUUUUUGAACGCAAGUUGCGCCCGAGGCUCGUCCGAGGGCAUUCCUGCCAGAGCCUCA
rnacentral:rRNA from 1 species